AAUAAUUUUUGUUGAUGGCGACCAGGUGGUUCGUACUGAUAUGAAGGAAUUGUUGGAGGAGCCAUUGGAUAAAGCACCUUAUGGAUACACUCCUUUCUGUGAUAGUCGUACUGAUAUGGAUGGAUUCAGUGCUAGUGACAUCAAUAGGUAUACAAUAUCAGGUGAUGAGUGAUGAAGGAUAAUGUCCUGAUGACUGUCCGUUAAUUGACUGAUCACUUCCUGACACUGACCUGCUGAUGGUUUUGUGAGGGUUACAUAACUACUGCCCCACAUCACCUCUCCAGUCUCUUCUCCUAAUAAUAAA